rnacentral:rRNA from 1 species
UGGAGAGUUUGAUCCUGGCUCAGGACGAACGCUGGCGGCGUGCUUAACACAUGCAAGUCGAACGGAAAGGCCCUUCGGGGUACUCGAGUGGCGAACGGGUGAGUAACACGUGGGUGAUCUGCCCUGCACUCUGGGAUAAGCCUGGGAAACUGGGUCUAAUACCGGAUAGGACCACACACUUCAUGGUGAGUGGUGCAAAGCUUUUGCGGUGUGGGAUGAGCCCGCGGCCUAUCAGCUUGUUGGUGGGGUAAUGGCCCACCAAGGCGACGACGGGUAGCCGGCCUGAGAGGGUGACCGGCCACACUGGGACUGAGAUACGGCCCAGACUCCUACGGGAGGCAGCAGUGGGGAAUAUUGCACAAUGGGGCGCAAGCCUGAUGCAGCGACGCCGCGUGAGGGAUGACGGCCUUCGGGUUGUAAACCUCUUUCAGUAGGGACGAAGCGAAAGUGACGGUAACUCAGAAGAAGGACCGGCCAACUACGUGCCAGCAGCCGCGGUA